UUGUUGCAGUUAAAAGCUCGUAGUUGGAUUUGUGGUUGGAAAGGUCCGCCGUUGCUAUGCUUCGUGUUGGAUUUUUCCGUCCAUCCUUGGGUGGAUCCUGUGUGGCAUUCAGUUGUCGUGCAGGGGAUGCCCAUCGUUUACUGUGAAAAAAUUAGAGUGUUCAAAGCAGGCUUACGCCUUGAAUAUAUUAGCAUGGAAUAAUAAGAUAGGACCUGGGUACUAUUUUGUUGGUUUGCGCACCGAGGUAAUGAUUAAUAGGGACAGUUGGGGGUAUUCGUAUUCCAUUGUCAGAGGUGAAAUUCUUGGAUUUUUGGAAGACGAACUACUGCGAAAGCAUUUACCAAGGAUGUUUUCAUUAAUCAAGAACGAAAGUUACGGGAUCGAAGAUGAUUAGAUACCAUCGUANUCUUAACCAUAAACUAUGCCG
rnacentral:rRNA from 1 species